AUUCUGCCCAUGCGGGGAAGGAUGAGAAGCUUCGACCAAGGUUCGACUCGAGCGCCAGCGAGAGAGCGUUGCCGCAGGCAACGACCCGAAGGGCGAAGCGCGCAGCGCUG
rnacentral:sRNA from 1 species